rnacentral:ncRNA from 1 species
AUUAAGUUUGAUUUUUUCUUACCAAUUAAUUUUUUGCAUGGAUUAUACGUUUUUUUUUUAAUAUUUUUGUUGCUCAGUAAUAAAUAUUUUUUUAUUAUAAUUUAUAAUUAAGUAAUGCAUAAAUUUUGGAAAUAUAUUGUGCCAGCAUUCGCGGUUAGACAAUUCAAAAAAAUUAAUUUAUUAAGUUUUAAUUAUUUUUAUUUUUGAAUUUAAAAUUUAUCUAUUUAAGUGGAAUUUUUAUUUAAAUUAUUUUCUUAAAGAAAUUUAGUAAAUUUUUUUUUAAACCAGGAUUAGAUACCCUGUUAUUUAUAUAUUUAAUUUUUAUACUUUAACAUUAAUAGUUAUUUUCUAUAAAAUUUGUAUAAUUUGGCGGUAAAUUAUUAUUAGGGGAACCUGUUCUUUAAUUGAUAAACCACGAUAGGUUUUACUAUAAUUUUAUUUGUAUACCUCUAUAUUAUAAGUAUUUUUUAAAGAAUAUACUUUUUUUAUUUUUAUAUUUGAUAUUAGGUCAAGGUGCAGUUAUUUUAUAGAAAGUGUGGGUUACAAAAAAUUUUAAUACUUAGGAUUUAAAGUUUAAACAUUUUUAUGAAUUAGGAUUUAAUAGUAAUUUAAAAUAAUUAUUUUUUAUGAAUUUUUAGUUAAUUUAUGUACAUAUUGCCCGUCACUCUCAUUUCAGUUGAGAUAAGUCGUAACAAAGUAAUUGUACUGGAAAGUGUAGUUAGAAUUU